GUGCUUGCUUCUGUAGCACAUACGCUAAAAUUGUUGAACGAUACAGAGAAAAUUAGCUAUAGCUGCUGCGCUAGAAUGACACGGAAACUCGUGAAGCGGUCCAUAUUUUG